UACGUAGGGUGCAAGCGUUAAUCGGAAUUACUGGGCGUAAAGGGUGCGCAGGCGGCUGUGCAAGACAGAUGUGAAAUCCCCGGGCUUAACCUGGGAACUGCAUUUGUGACUGCACGGCUAGAGUUUGUCAGAGGAGGGUGGAAUUCCGCGUGUAGCAGUGAAAUGCGUAGAUAUGCGGAAGAACACCAAUGGCGAAGGCAGCCCUCUGGGACAUGACUGACGCUCAUGCACGAAAGCGUGGGGAGCAAACAGG
rnacentral:rRNA from 3 species